rnacentral:tRNA from 1 species
AGGAAUGUAGCUCAAUGGUAGAGCAUUUGCCUCAUGCAGAAAGACCUGGGUUCAAUCCCCAAAAUUAAAA